rnacentral:pre_miRNA from 1 species
UUUGGGGGAAGUAGUGGUCCGUCGGGUUGGGAAAAGGGCAUCAUUCCUUGAGGGAAAAUUAGGUUUGCUUCCUUUUACUUCCAAAAUAUUUUUACCGUGGGUAAAUAGAAUCAUCAUGGGGGUAUAAAAAGGAACCAAACUUAAAUUUACCUCAAGGGAUCUUGAUGUCUUUUUCUCCAACAGGACAUAUCACAAGUUAGA